rnacentral:lncRNA from 1 species
UCAGAAAUUCAUCCUCAUAACUCCAUUUCCCAGUAGAACACUCCACAUUACGAAAACUUCAAGUAUGUAAUUAUUUUGUUAAGUGUGAAAGUGCUUGAAAUCCAGACUUCAGGAGAAGAGACAGAAAACAGCACCAAGAAUAUAAGCCUAAAGCCCAUAGCAUUUCACUCAUCAGUUUGUAGUGGUUGAAGCCACACCCAAAGCAAGAACCACAGUGAGCUGAUGGAUAUUUUACAGGAAAACUUCAGGUUAUGAGUAUGUGAUGGUUCCGUGAGCAAGACUGGCAUCCUUGGCUGGAUGGGCAAGCACACACCUCACAGGCAGCUGGGCCUCUCGACUUGGGGUGCGGAGGGGGAACGUGUGGAGACAACCAGGGUGUCUCCAGCAUCUUCAGGACACCUGUUGUGAUGGAUCCUGAAGGAAUUAGCAGGCGAUGUAUGCUGAUCCCACACAAAGGCUGGUAGAGAAUUUGUCCAGCUCCAGAAAGAGGGGAUGCAAAACAGGUCAUUGUCACACUGCUGGGAAGACACUCAGUAUUUGCUAGGAUCACCAGAGGGGUGCGGCUUGACUUUUAACAGAGGCUUUGGUUUUAUGAUAGACAUGAAAACUGUCAUUCAACAGACAAGAAGAGACGUGUGUGUAAGAUUAAAGGCUGAGUAGCUUUAGGACAAGUUCACACACACAGUGACACAGUCUUCAGAGAUACAGCUUUAAUAAUUAGAGACUUGAAAGCAGGUAGAACAAAACACUCAUGAGACUCAUUCCAUCGUCAAGAAAUUUAAUAUGGCACCAGGAGAUUUGCAUAAUUGACCUAUUUGGCUUUCUGCAUCAAGUUUGGUGUCCUGUUGCAGAAGCUGAGCAUUGACGGGACAGAGGCAUAAACUGCAGCGCUUGAUAAAAUAGAGCCCAGUAUUCUGAGGUUAGUGAAGAAAACACAAAGACUUGACAGAUGCACUCCCAGAUCGCAUCUCACAGUCAUUCAAGGUUUAGGGCAAGGCAUUUCCAUGUGGAGUCUCACCUUUUCUUGUCCCAGUCAUGCAUCUUGGAGUUCCUUGGCUAAGUCUGCAGGGAGGAGAAGCAGCAGGCUUGAUUUGCAUCAAUAAAAGCAGCGAUCUGUGCUGGCCAUGCUAACCCUGUUGGCUAUUAGGGGGUGGGGGCACUCUGUCAAGGGGAGUCACUGGGACGGUGUAGGAUCAGCCUUCAGAGCCUGCUGCCUGACCGUAGAGGAGGAACCUGCACACACCCUGCUGUUUUAGUUCACGAGCAGCUAUCAAAGCCUGUUAGCCAUCCUGGUUACCUGCUUGUGCCAGACAGAACUUACUGUCCCAGGCAGUGAAGUGAGUUCUAUAAAAGCCCGGUCUCCUCCCUCAUGUGACCUGCACCAAGAACCACCCAGGGGACUGGAGUCACUGAGUCACAGGAGCCUCUGGAAGGUUCUCAUGACCAAGCCCUUGAGACUAAGAAUCUGGGUGGCCUAAGCUGGAUUGGAUUAAUCACCCAACGCCCCAUCAUGGGACCACUGACUGCAAAACCCUCAAAGCUCUACACUCUUGGGGUGUGAGCAGAAACAGACACGUGCUUACCACUGCUAACAGGCAUCAGUAAAUACUAUUUAAAUACAUGCUUGAUCAUCAUAAGACAUUAAAGAUGUUAAAG